AUGAGCGUGACCAAGUUCAUCAAGUGCGUCACGGUGGGGGACGGCGCCGUCGGCAAGACCUGCAUGCUCAUCUGCUACACCAGCAACAGGUUCCCCAGCGAUUACAUCCCCACCGUGUUCGACAACUUCAGCGCCAACGUCUCCGUCGACGGCAACAUCGUCAACCUCGGCCUGUGGGACACCGCCGGGCAAGAGGACUACAGCAGGCUGAGGCCGCUGAGCUACAGAGGCGCCGACGUCUUCGUGCUCGCCUUCUCCCUCAUCAGCAGCGCAAGCUACGAGAAUGUCCUCAAGAAGUGGAUGCCAGAGCUCCGCCGGUUCGCGCCCAACGUCCCCAUUGUUCUAGUUGGGACCAAGCUAGAUCUGCGUGACCACAGAGCCUACCUCGCCGACCAUCCCGGUGCCUCGGCAAUCACAACCGCACAGGGUGAAGAACUCAGGAAGCAGAUCGGCGCCGCAGCGUACAUCGAGUGUAGCUCAAAGACACAGCAGAACGUCAAGGCUGUCUUCGACACCGCCAUCAAGGUGGUCCUUCAGCCGCCGAGGAGGAGGGAGGUGAUGGCGGCCAGGAAGAAAACUAGGCGAAGCUCUGGAUGCUCCAUCAUGCACUUGAUGUGUGGCAGCACGUGUGCUGCCUGA
rnacentral:rRNA from 1 species